UUGACACAAAUACUGGUAGGUUCUGCAAUACCCUUUUCAAAACGUUGAGAUUUGUAAAUGGAAGAUUUCUGAUCUCUGUUAGUCACUAAAAUAUAUUAAAUAAUGGAAAGAACAAUUAUCGGAAUAAAUUUUGGAAGCAAGUUGCAAAAAAGAUUGUCAUCAAAAGAUGAACACGCUUAAAAGAAAAAAUGAACAAUUACUUACAUAUUCAUGUAAAAGAUUAUCACCAUAUGAAGAGAUCUCACGCGUAGACGCUCCUGGGACGCAACGAGAAGCAACCUGAUGGAAAGCUUUGCUAACUAAAGCACCAGCAUCACGAUACUUCGAAAAUUGGCUUGCAUCGACAACACGAGAGUUACUAUCAGAAGGAUCGAGCUCCAUAAUUCAAAUCAAAAAAUUAAGCAAAACUCGCACUUCAAACAGUAAAUCUGUUGAUAGUGCCUUUUGAAAAAAGUAUUUAAAAACUUUUGAUCGUUUACCAAAUUUAAAUACCGACUCGUUACAU